CUAUCAGGAUGACAAUAUUUUUUGUCAGCAGCAGCUUACCUAAUGAGUGUUGAUGCUUUCUUUGGGUCUGAUAA